GACGAACGCUGGCGGCGUGCUUAACACAUGCAAGUCGAACGGAAACGCCCUGCUUUUUUGGGGUGCUCGAGUGGCGAACGGGUGAGUAACACGUGAGUAACCUGCCCUUGACUUUCGGGUAACUUCAGGAAACUGGGGCUAAUACCGGAUAGGAGCUCCUGCUCCAUGGUGGGGGUGGGAAAGUUUCGGCGGUUGGGGAUGGACUCGCGGCUUAUCAGCUUGUUGGUGGGGUAGUGGCUUACCAAGGCUUUGACGGGUAGCCGGCCUGAGAGGGUGACCGGCCACAUUGGGACUGAGAUACGGCCCAGUCUCCUACGGGAGGCAGCAGUGGGGAAUAUUGCACAAUGGGCGGAAGCCUGAGGCAGAAACGCCGCGUGCGGGAUGACGGCUUUUGGGUUGUAAACCGCUUUCGCCUGUGACGAAGCGGGAGUGACGGUAACGGGUAAAGAAGCACCGGCUAACUACGUG
rnacentral:rRNA from 1 species